rnacentral:rRNA from 1 species
GCCUACGGGGGGCAGCAGUGAGGGAUAUUGGUCAAUGGGGGAAACCCUGAACCAGCAACGCCGCGUGAGGGAAGACGGUUUUCGGAUUGUAAACCUCUGUCCUCUGUGAAGAUAAUGACGGUAGCGGAGGAGGAAGCCCCGGCUAACUACGUGCCAGCAGCCGCGGUAAUACGUAGGGGGCAAGCGUUAUCCGGAUUUACUGGGUGUAAAGGGAGCGUAGACGGUAUGGCAAGUCUGAAGUGAAAGCCCAGGGCUUAACCCUGGGACUGCUUUGGAAACUGUUAGACUAGAGUGCUGGAGAGGCA